CUUGCUGGAACGUUCUUUUUGGAAAGAGAAUCUUGGGGCUACUUUUCUUCCAUAUAGUGGUAUUAUCCUCCUGUAUGAAAGGGAAAAUACUCUGGGUGCUGAAAUCUUAAACCUUGCUAACUGAAACCAUUGACUUCAGAGUCCAAGAUCUGUGUUGCAGUGUGUUCCCUUCUGCUAGACAAUUUAAAAGCCUCAAAUCUAACACCAGUCUCCCAGAUCUGCAAACCAGUUUAAAAGGUAUGGGAGCUAAUCAGAAUACUCAUAUUGCCAACAGUUUUGGAAAAGAGAUUAAGGUGAAUGUGAGGCACCCUAAUGGGCGUGAAGAACAGAUAUUUGUGGAAGCGGGAAAAGUGAGGAAUGUGGAAACAGACCAUGGAUCAGUGACCGUGAAAGUGUUCUACAACAAUAAAGUGGUGGAGGAGAGGACAAUUCCCUCUGAUAUCAGCGUUAUGAUUGUGAAGUCCGGGAGUGGGCAGCCAAAAAUUGUCCGUGUAAAAUAUGGAAAACUUUGGGAAGCCGACCCUAAUGAUAAUGGGCGUUAGACAUUCUUUGUGGGGCUUGAAGAACAGUUACAGUUGUUGAUUAUGUAUUCAAGUCAUGGUCUCACACAGAAAUACAAAAAUAAAUAAAUAAUUUUAAUGACAAA